CAGGCUGUGAGUUUUCACUUGGAAAUGUUGCAUGGUGCCACCGUGGAUGCAGACGGGUCUCCCGGUUUCACUUGCUCAUUUUCCUACUGAUGGAUGCCUACGUUACUUCCGGCCCAGGUUAGAUCUGCAGUUUGUCUACCGGUUCAUGAAGAUACAGAAGAUCUUGUUUCCUUCUUGGUCAUCACGGAACGUCUUGAUGUUCCUGACUCUCUUGUGUGUGGCCCUUAUGGAGCAACUGGUGAUCUACCAAGUUGGCUUGAUCCCCAGUCAGUACUAUGGGGUCCUUGGAAACAAAGACCUGGAUGGGUUUAAGGCGCUGACCUUCCUGGCUGUGGUUCUCAUCGUUCUCAACUCCACACUGAAGAGCUUUGACCAGUUCACCUGCAACCUGCUGUACGUGAGCUGGAGACAGGACCUCACUGAGCACCUGCACCGCCUCUACUUCCGAGCCCGGGUGUACUACACUCUCAACGUGUUGCGAGAUGACAUCGACAACCCGGAUCAACGGAUGAGCCAGGACGUGGAGCGAUUCUGCCGGCAGCUCAGCAGCAUGGCCAGCAGGCUGAUGGUCUCCCCCUUCACCCUCAGCUACUACACAUACCAGUGUUUCCAGAGCACAGGCUGGCUUGGACCUGUGAGCAUCUUUGGCUAUUUCAUCCUGGGAACCGUAGUGAACAGAACUCUGAUGGGGCCCAUCGUAGCGAAGCUGGUGCAGCAGGAGAAACUGGAAGGAGAUUUCAGGUUCAAGCACAUGCAGAUUCGAGUGAAUGCUGAGCCUGCUGCUUUCUACAGAGCUGGACAUGUGGAGCACAUGAGGACAGACCGAAGGCUGCAGAGACUCCUUCAGACCCAGAAGGAGCUGAUGUCCAAGGAGCUCUGGCUGUACAUUGGUAUCAACACUUUUGAUUAUCUGGGCAGCAUCCUGAGUUAUGUUGUCAUCGCAAUCCCUAUUUUCAGUGGGGUGUAUGGAGACCUGAGCCCCACAGAGCUUAGCACCCUGGUCAGCAAGAACGCCUUCAUGUGCAUCUACCUCAUCAACUGCUUCACUCAGCUCAUCGACCUCUCCACCACACUCUCUGACGUGGCAGGUUACACGCACAGGAUUGGAGAGCUUCAGGAGGCCCUGCUAGACCUGUCCCAGAAAUCACAAGACUAUGAAACCCUGGGCGAGAGUGAGUGGGACUUGGACAAAGCCCCAGGGUGGCCGGCAGCAGAGGCCGCAGACACCGCUUUUCUGCUCGAGCGGGCCUCCAUCUCGGCCCCCGCUUCCGACAAGCCCCUCAUCAAGGACCUGACUCUGAAGAUCUGCGAGGGGCAGAGCCUGCUUAUCACAGGCAACACGGGCACCGGCAAGACCUCCUUGCUGCGGGUCCUGGGCGGCCUGUGGGCAAGCACGAAGGGUUCAGUGCAGAUGCUGGCUGACUUUGGGCCUCACGGGGUGCUGUUCCUGCCACAGAAGCCAUUCUUCACUGACGGGACCCUUCGGGAGCAGGUGAUAUAUCCCCUGAAGGAGAUCUACCCGGAUUCAGGUUCUACUGAUGACGAGAGGAUCAUGAGGUUCUUAGAAUUAGCAGGCCUGAAACGUUCCUGUGGUGGGGACCGAGGAUGGCAGGAGACACAGAUGGGCACGUUCAUGGACUCUGUCAUCUGGGUCUGUUACAGUCCAGCUUGGUGGCAAGGACAGAAGGUCUGGACCAGCAGGUGGAUUGGAACUGGUACGACGUUCUGUCCCCAGGGGAGAUGCAAAGGUUAUCCUUCGCCCGCCUCUUCUACUUGCAGCCCAAGUAUGCAGUGCUUGACGAAGCCACCAGCGCCCUGACAGAGGAGGCAGAGAGUGAGCUGUACCGCCUUGGCCAGCAGCUGGGCAUGACGUUCAUCAGUGUGGGACACCGGGCCAACCUCGAGAAGUUUCACUCCUGGCUUCUGAAACUCUGUGGAGGAGGAAGGUGGGAGCUGACUAGAACCAAAAUGGAAUGAAGCCAGGUGCACAGAAGGCCCUCAGGACAGCCAAGCCGCCAGCAGGAAGGAGCCCAGGUUCACCCAGGGCCUGGGCAAGGACCCCGGCGGCAGUGGGCCCCAUCUCUCCUGCACUGCUGCCGUGGCUCCACGUGCUGUGAGAGCGCUGACUCUUCUGAACUAUGAUGGAAUUUGCUUCAGAAUAAAGGGUGUGAACCAUAAGAAAUGAAGAGUCAGGGUAGAAGGGCAUUGGUGCCAAGAGAGCCUAUUACAUUUUGUAGCAAUAGACUUUUAACUUUAAUUAACUGACCAU